rnacentral:rRNA from 1 species
AACGCGAAGAACCUUACCUGGGCUAGAAAACGUGCGAACCUGGUAGAAAUAUCGGGGUGCUCUUCGGAGAACGCAUGGUUAGGUGCUGCAUGGCUGUCGUCAGCUCGUGUCGUGAGAUGUUGGGUUAAGUCCCGCAACGAGCGCAACCCUUACCUCUAGUUGCCACCACGCAAGUGGGGAACUCUAGCGGAACCGCCUCGGAUAACGGGGAGGAAGGUGGGGAUGACGUCAAGUCCUCAUGGCCUUUAUGUCCAGGGCUACACACGUGCUACAAUGGCCGGUACAAACCGCUGCAACCCCGCGAGGGUGAGCUAAUCGGAAAAAGCCGGCCUCAGUUCGGAUUGGAGUCUGCAACUCGACUCCAUGAAGCUGGAAUCGCUAGUAAUCGUGGAUCAGCAUGCCACGGUGAAUACGUUCCCGGGCCUUGUACACACCGACAUA